UACGUAGGGUGCGAGCGUUAAUCGGAAUUACUGGGCGUAAAGCGUGCGCAGGCGGUUUUGUAAGCCAGAUGUGAAAUCCCCGGGCUUAACCUGGGAAUGGCAUUUGGGACUGCAAGGCUGGAGUGCGGCAGAGGAGACUGGAAUUCCUGGUGUAGCAGUGAAAUGCGUAGAUAUCAGGAGGAACACCGAUGGCGAAGGCGGGUUGCUGGGCUGACACUGACGCUGAGGCGCGAAAGCUAGGGGAGCGAACGGG
rnacentral:rRNA from 1 species